UGUGGAGGAGGAUCAGCCAUAUCCUGAUCAUCCAGAGAGUUCCUGCUGAUGUCCACCAGAUGGCGCCAUGAUGUCACCACCAACACAGAGAUGGAAAAACAAACUGGGGACUUUGGGUUAGUUUGAUUGGUCUUCAUUUUGGUAUUUCUCUCUAAAAUAACAAAUGACAACAUUACCAAUAAUCAGUAACAUUACAAAUCAUCAUUGUCGUUUGUUAACAGUUAAAAUAACUUUUAACUGAAGUUUAAUUUCCCGUUUAUCACUGCUGGUUGUUAUAAUAAAGUAUUGCUGGUCGUCUGAUCUCUGUUGUCAGAGUGUUUCUGGUUCUACAGGAUUCUUUCUGUCUCCUCCUCUGUACGCCUCCUCCUCCUCCUCCUCUUCUUCCUCCUGAUGAAGCUGAAACAUGUUUAUUGUUGUGCUAUUAGUACUUGUACUGCAGUAACAUGUCAUCAAUGUGACAGAAAAGCUGUUUCAUUGUGUCUGUUGGAGGUUUGACUUAUUUCCCACAUUAAUAUGCGGGUCUUGGCGUAGCCAUAGUAGGAUUCGUAAAUUCGCCCACUGGAAUGAGUCACAGCUCCACCUGUCAGGAUGCAGGCAGGAAGGGCUGCAACAGGAGCAGAUUUUCAGAAUAAAAUGACAUUUGGACUGCUGUCAAUGCUCCAUUACUGACUGAAAGAUUUAAUGACUGCAGACACUAACUAGUCAUUACACAAGCUGAACAUGUUUCCUAAAAUAUGAAAUCCAUUCUUUCCUCACUGAUACCAACAGUGAAGUCUUCAACGCGAACAUGUUAAUGUGGGAGUGAAUCAAACCUCCAACAGACACAAUGAAACAGCUUUUCUGUCACAUUGAUGACAUGUUACUGCAGUAAAAGUACUAAUAGCACAGUAUGAAAUUACAGCAGCUGGCUGAGCAGAUAACUAACGUGGAGAGAAAACAGACAGACAGACAGAGAAUCUGAGCAGGACAUUACAGAGGAGCGGCUAACUAAUGAAAUUAUGAAUUUGAAGGUAAACAGUUAAACUCAGUAAAAAUGUAUAUUUUUGUAUAUUUGAAAAUGCAAGUUUCUUAUUGAGGACAUCUCCAAAGGUUGACGCUGUAAGGAACCUCUGUAAAGAAUGCAAUCUCCUGUCUGCAUUUUAAAGGAUUUAACCCAAAACAAAGUUGCAACUUGUUUAGGCUCUUCUGAACAAAGAACAUUUUAAAGAUCAUCACUGCAUGGAGAGAUGCCUUGUUUUUGACUCACUGAAGAUCGCUACUGUUGUGCUUUCAGAAAUCCGGGCUGUAAACUGGAUGCUCUAAUUUCAUGUACAGUAUUUUGUCAAAUGUAAUUUCAAUGUUUUCAUUUGAUUUGUGAAGCUCUCUGCCUACUUUUCAGUAGCUUAUAAGUCAACUGAACUUUUUUGUUACUGUGUUGCUACUGAAAAUGUGUCAUUGUGUUCUCAUUAAAGAGUAGUAUUCCCAGACUCUCA